UGUAGGAGCGAGCCUGCUCGCGAUGGCGUCCUGUCAAUCAACUGCGUGUUGACUGACCCACCGCUAUCGCGAGCAGGCUCGCUCCCACA
rnacentral:misc_RNA from 1 species